CCCCCGCUCUCCCCUCCCCCUGCUGUACCUUCCACAACAGACUGCGCUAGCGCUACGCUGGCUAAUGCACGCUCCAGCCUCGGGCACAGAGAGCGCACACCCACCGCAAUCACACACACGCACAGACACACACGCACACGCACACACUGCCUGUAAUGAAUGGCUGGACAGACAUUGACAAUGUUCGCCCAGGAACAUCGUUACGUAUGGAAAUAAAGACUAUUUUAAUACCAUGCUUAUUAAAAUUUCAUUUAAAUGAGUCCUUGUGUAUUUACUUAUCAAGAGGAAGGGAUAUUGCACUGGCAUUAUUUCUGAAUAUAUAAUCUCUGCAUCCAAAAUAAUUCAACCCUAUAAUAAUCCCUAAAAUAAAAAUAUUUUUUAUUUGGGUGACAGCCAGUGACCAAAAUACUACUCUCAUUAUUAUUUAAUUAUUCAUUUAUUUGCAGAUGGAAAUUAGGUAGUGGCUAAAAUCUGGUGCAAAGCGCCUCAACAUUAAUUGUGAUUGAUGUGUUUUGUAUACAGACCCUGAUAAUAUAAACCAACUCUGUGUUUUUUGUCCUAUUCUCCAUUCUAACAUUAACACAUUGUAUGUGAGCAGAUUGGGAUGCAGCACGCUGUCCGUAGUAUAAGAACACAGAGUGACUUCCUGCUCGUAGGAUUUCCCAGGGAGCACUUGUGUUACUCAUGAAUGCGUUCAUUCAUCACUGCGGGUAGGACCUCUUUCUGUGACGCACUGUCCGUCACGCGCGUCGUAUGACGGCCUUCGGAAGGUCGUGUCCUGUGAACGUGUGCGGAUUGCAAAAGGCCGCACUGUACCUCAUUUCCCCUCCCGUCCACCACGGUGGUGAAGCAGGGUAUCACAUUUCGAGUUAGCUGCCAGCUGUGUACAGGGAAAAUCCAAUAGCUGGAUGUCAAUAAGAUAAAAGUAAGUGAACCAGUUUGAAUGCCCUACAUACAGUAAACAGCCGUCCUUGAACACAGUCAUCUUUGAGAUGUGUCAGGGAUGAAUGUAUUACACUACUUGUUGUAAAGGCAGCGUCAUUAAGAAAACAGAUCGAGCUUAAUGGAGUCCUGUAGGCUGGCUUUCCCAGCUUCAGUGUCCAUGCCAGGCUGCUAAUGUAGGGGAACAGGACUGGGUAAGAUCCUCACUGCAGACCUGGUGAAUGUGAAUUACAACAUGCAUGUUAAUUUCAUCCAGACUUUAGUCUUUGGUCCCUAAGCAAGUUUGAACAAUCCCCCACAAAAUGAGAACAUACUAUAUAAUGCCCAUACUGAAAUAAAAUAGACUACUCAAGAUCUGAAAAUAAUAUUCACAGUGAUUAAUAUUAGUGCCACUUUCAGAUACUGCAAGUAAUACAUUGCUUUGAAAUGUACUGUAAUUUUUUAACAUAAUUUUUCCACAUAUUUAUUCAAUACAUUGCAGAAUGUUCUGUUUCAAUCAAAGGUACUACAGACAUAGAUGCAGUCAUAUCCAUGUUCCUUAAAUCUACAAAAGCCAGGUUGGGCUCAGAACUGCUUUAUGAAUGCUGAGUAUGUCAGCAAACUCUACCAGGGACACAUUUGAUGUUAAAAGUAGCUUCACUGUAUAAUUUGGUUAUGAAACAUGAACGUGGACAGGGCUUGUAUGGGAAUGCAGUACACUGUAGUUAUCCAUAAGCUGCAUACAAACUGGAUGAACUUCAGCUACUGUUGGGUAAAAACAGAGACUUUUCUUCAUCUUCUGUUUUGUGCUUCACGGAGACGUGGUUGUGUGGAUCGAUUCCGGAUUCUGCGCUGCAGCUGCCAGGCUUCCAACUCUUCAGAGCGGACCGCGACACAGAACUCUCCGGCAAAACGAAAGGCGCAGACAUACGGCCGAGCCUCCGUUUCCCGGCUGCUGUGCACCUGAAAAAACAGAAGAGCGGGGGAACACAGCCGUCAUCAAACAGAAGACGGAGACUCGCGCUGGACGCUGGCUCACAAGCACCUUCCUGUGGGCCUCGGGGCCGGUCACGCUAUGAGCUGUGACAGAACUGGUGCAGCCGGGCUCCUGUUUCAUCAGUGUGGCCUACAUUCCCCCAGCUGGACCAAAGGACGGCUGCCAGAGAAUCACCCUCUUCUCACCGGUUUUCUUUCUGGCCUACUGGCCCCCUGAAACCCUAUAGUGUAGACACUGUCUAAGUAUUAGAAAUAUUAGGUUCACUAAUAUUUAUUUAAACCUUUGGUGUAAAUAGACAGCAUUUGGAUAGCGCUUCUAUCUAAUUACUGGAUCUCAUUCACCCAUUCACAUGCUCUGUCACACUCAAGCAGUGAUAGGCUGCCAUGCUAGGCUGACCAGCUUGUUGGGAGCAAUUGGGGAUUAGGCGUCUUCCUCAGAGAAGGAAGGCAUUUUGUUUUUCCAGAAAUGCACAAGAAUUGUAUUUGAAACUGGCAUAUUAUUGGAAAUGUUGUACAUUCUUCAAAUAUAGCAUUUUAGUCCUAUUUAUUUGUAAAACUACACUUCUUCUCUAAACACCAAAAAUGGAUAUAUAUCGCUUUGCGCUCAAACUCUAUGAAUGGAAACUCAUGACAAAUUGGGGUGGGAAUCGGAUAUACACAGCCCCAAGUUUUGUGUCAUUUUUUUAUUUUUUUAUUGAAACCCACAAGACAAUAUAUUACUAGAAUACUGAACCAAAACACAAUAAUAUUUAUUCCCAUUGCACAUUCUUGGUAUACAGCAAGAAUUUUGUUUAUCCCUUUUAGAAAUGUAAUCAUUUGACCCAUUUAAAAAGCUCUAUUUUCAGUUACACUGUGAGAGGGCAGCUUGAUUAUGAGGUGAAAAGGUGACUUGUGUUGAGGUGGAGUAUGCACAGCGCUUGCCUUGAUAUAAGAUGCUAUUUUGGUCAAAGCCAGUCCGUCUACAGGUCAUGGAUUACAAUAGGGGACGGCGGCCAUUUUGUGUACAGGAAACAAAAGAACAAAGGGGAAGCCGCUGAGACACUGUCCUCCGGCCCCGUGACAAACUGAGCACCGUGUACUUUCAUAUGAAAAGAGCUGUACACGGGGUCAUCCAAGGGUGCCAUUACAGAAGGGUGAGCGAUGGUUCACAGAAGUCAUAUGCGGACUUCCAGUUUACUGAAUCAGUUCAACAGAACAUCUACAGUAUAUUUUGGAUUGUGAGACACAGGAGAAGAUAUUCAGGGAACGUUUUGCAGGGAAUUGAGAUAUAAGAGUGUUUCCUGGAAAAUAAACUAGUAAAAGUACCAUAAAGUACCAUAAUUGUAAAAUGACAUUUAUAAAAAAUAAAGAUUUAAUGUAAAUACUCAAAAUCAA